GAAUGUGGGGGUGAUCUGGCUGCAACAUCUGUCACCCCAUUGAUCGCCAGGGUUGACUCAGCUCAUGUGGCUAGGUGGGUGUCCUCUUCCUCCCUCUCUGCCCUAUGUGUGUCCAUCUGGAAGCUGCAUACUCGGUUGAAGAGGAUGACCUUCCAUGAUAGAGGAGGACCGUUCUUUGGUGUAGGGUAUAUGAGUAGCUUCACUCCCCUGCUAGAACUUCCAAACAAGUUUUCAAGAUUAAAGAUCUUUUCCUCCAGAAAGCUCUUCUGAACUUGCAGCCUGGCUUAGUCUCCUCUUCUGUGCUUCCAUUGUACUAUGGACACAGCCAUCUUACCUGUUUAUCCAUCUGU
rnacentral:snRNA from 1 species